rnacentral:pre_miRNA from 9 species
UCCCGAUAGCGUAAAAGUUAACUCAUAUUUGUAUGGAAUGGGAACGUUUGCCUACGUUUGCCGCUAGGGGCGCUGUUCCAACUGCACACAAAAUUGGGUUAACUUUUACGCUAUCGA